rnacentral:ncRNA from 2 species
UUUAGUAUCCCCGCCGCCGGUUUCCACUGGGAAUUAAUAGGGAAUCCGCGAGCCCUGCGCUACACGGCUCAAACGGAACUGUCCCCGCAACUGUAGGCGCUGAGCCCUGCUUCACGAUUGCCACUGGGUUACCCCGGGAAGGCCGGAGCAUGGCGAUGACGCGCCAGUCAGGAGACCUGCCGGCAAGCGUCAAUCACU